GAGGAAAUAAAACACAAACAAGAACAGACGCUUAAGAAAUGCCUACAUUUAGAAGUUGUUGGAAAAAAUUCCAGACAAAGGCAAAGAUGGCAAAUUAAAAUCAACACGAUUCAACCUCGAAAGAGAAAGGACUGUGAAGGAGUUCUGUGUAACAAAAUCAAAUGCUGCAAAGAAAGUUUUGUAAGUGGUUUAAAAUGACAAGAUAAAAGAUUGUAAAUCGGUGGAACCCACUGGAAAGUAGGCAAAAAGAGUUUAACCUACUGGAAAGCAAGAGCUGUCAGAAUCCCAGGGUCCACUUUUGAAUGAAAUCUGACUGCAGAAAGGAAGAAAAGAAAAUGUUCAAUAAUAUUAAGACGUGGGAAGUAGGCAAAAAGGAAACAUAAUUUAAAAGCAAACACUUUAAUGGCUUGCAAUGGUACAACUUCCUUAAAUUCAGUAAAAGUUCAAUAAAUAUAUGUCAAUGGUC
rnacentral:lncRNA from 1 species